rnacentral:rRNA from 1 species
GAUGAACGCUGGCGGCGUGCCUAAUACAUGCAAGUCGAGCGAACAGAUGAGGAGCUUGCUCCUCUGACGUUAGCGGCGGACGGGUGAGUAACACGUGGAUAACCUACCUAUAAGACUGGGAUAACUUCGGGAAACCGGAGCUAAUACCGGAUAAUAUAUUGAACCGCAUGGUUCAAUAGUGAAAGACGGUUUUGCUGUCACUUAUAGAUGGAUCCGCGCCGCAUUAGCUAGUUGGUAAGGUAACGGCUUACCAAGGCAACGAUGCGUAGCCGACCUGAGAGGGGGAUCGGCCACAUUGGAACGGAGACACCGUCCAGACUCCUAAGGGAGGCAGCAGUAGGGAAUCUGACGCAAUGGGCGAAAGCCUGACGGAGCAACGCCGCGUGAGUGAUGAAGGUCUUCGGAUCGUAAAACUCUGUUAUUAGGGAAGAACAAAUGUGUAAGUAACUAUGCACGUCUUGACGGUACCUAAUCAGAAAGCCACGGCUAACUACGUG